rnacentral:tmRNA from 1 species
GGGGUCGAUUUGGUUUCGACAGUAACCCGUUCGUUUCGGGGAAGCGUGCCGAGAACGCGGAGUCCGCUCGUGAUGUCCUCCGCGAAGAAAAUAAGUGCUAAAUCUAACAAUCGCACUGAGUUCGCUCUCGCUGCCUGAUUUCGUCAGGGCUUAACCAGCGAGCAGCCGCUCCGUUCACUCUUUCUUGUCUUUGGAAAGAUGUUGAGCGUCGUUUAGAAGACUCGCCUGCACCGCCGAUUUGCAGGGUGGUGCGGGGACUUUUUCUGUAAAUAGGCUCGCCGUCAGUCGCCUGUGACAUUGACGGGAGCCGAAAAACUACCCUUGUGGUCUACAGGAUACGCACGUAGAAGACCGAAGGUACGGUUACUGGACCGGGGUUCAAUUCCCCGCGGCUCCACAU